AGUGAACGCUGGCGGUAGGCCUAACACAUGCAAGUCGAACGGCAGCACAGUAAGAGCUUGCUCUUACGGGUGGCGAGUGGCGGACGGGUGAGGAAUACAUCGGAAUCUACUUUUUCGUGGGGGAUAACGUAGGGAAACUUUCGCUAAUACCGCAUACGACCUACGGGUGAAAGCAGGGGAUCUUCGGACCUUGCGCGAUUGAAUGAGCCGAUGUCGGAUUAGCUAGUUGGCGGGGUAAAGGCCCACCAAGGCGACGAUCCGUAGCUGGUCUGAGAGUAUGAUCAGCCACACUGGAACUGAGACACGGUCCAGACUCCUACGGGAGGCAGCAGUGGGGAAUAUUGGACAAUGGGCGCAAGCCUGAUCCAGCCAUACCGCGUGGGUGAAGAAGGCCUUCGGGUUGUAAAGCCCUUUUGUUGGGAAAGAAAAGCAGCAGGUUAAUACCCCGCUGUUCUGACGGUACCCAAAGAAUAAGCACCGGCUAACUUCGUG
rnacentral:rRNA from 1 species